rnacentral:rRNA from 1 species
AGCGUGCGCAGGCGGUUAUGUAAGACAGAUGUGAAAUACCCCGGGCCUCAACCUGGGAACUGCAUUUGUGACUGCAUGGCUAGAGUACGGUAGAGGGGGAUGGAAUUCCGCGUGUAGCAGUGAAAUGCGUAGAUAUGCGGAGGAACACCGAUGGCGAAGGCAAUCCCCUGGACCUGUACUGACGCUCAUGCACGAAAGCGUGGGGAGCAAACAGGAUUAGAUACCCCUGU